GUGCUCACUUUGGCAGCACAUAUACUAAAAUUGGAAUGAUACAGAGAAGAUUAGCAUGGCCCCUGCACAAGGAUGACAUGCAAAUUUGAGACGCAUUACAUAUUUAU
ensembl:snRNA U6 U6 spliceosomal RNA